rnacentral:rRNA from 1 species
UAGGGAAUCUUCGGCAAUGGACGAAAGUCUGACCGAGCAACGCCGCGUGAGUGAAGAAGGUUUUCGGAUCGUAAAACUCUGUUGUUAGAGAAGAACAAGGACGUUAGUAACUGAACGUCCCCUGACGGUAUCUAACCAGAAAGCCACGGCUAACUACGUGCCAGCAGCCGCGGUAAUACGUAGGUGGCAAGCGUUGUCCGGAUUUAUUGGGCGUAAAGCGAGCGCAGGCGGUUUCUUAAGUCUGAUGUGAAAGCCCCCGGCUCAACCGGGGAGGGUCAUUGGAAACUGGGAGACUGGAGGGCAGGAGAGGAGAGUGGAAUUCCAUGUGGAGCGGUGAAAUGCGUAGAAAUAUGGAGGAACACCAGUGGCGAAGGCGGCUCUCUGGUCUGUAACUGACGCUGAGGCUCGAAAGCGUGGGGAGCAAACAGG